AUGAAAAUGAUGAGAUGCAGCGAGGAUGAAAAUGUAGGUAAGCUGUUAUUCAGGUAUGGUGCUUUGUUGCUGAAGCUUGGGGGAAGUAGUGUAAAGGGUGAGCAUACCGUGGUGUUUGGUUGUGGUGAUGGAGAUUUGGACAGAAGCUUUGUGCAAGGUUUUGGACCGGUAUAUGCAGUGGACGGCAAGAGGGUUUUUGUUGUCUUAUGCAGGAUUGAGACAAGGCAUUUGGAAGCAGGUUUGUGGCAUCUUGUGAGCAGUAUGGGGCAGCAACAGGUUCUGUUUUUGAGCUGA